rnacentral:lncRNA from 1 species
CCGAGGGAGAUCGUGUGUCAGCAAUCUCGCGUCGCUACGAAAACACGACAGUCGUUCGUCAUGCCUUGGAUAUAACAACAAAUCCUCCACGGCACCCGCUUUAUAUAACGCCAGAAGGCAGCUGCAAGGACACGAGGAUGUGAAAGAGCCAGUGCAGCGCGACUUCACGUAGUGCAGAGGAGCCAAUGCCAAAAAAUCAAAAUACAUUGGCAUGUUAUUUGGACAAGAAAACUAGGACAACCCAGGAUGUGCAUUUCUCAGCACCCAGUCAAUUGCCAAAAGUGACUCAAACAUAGGCCACCAGUGGAACUCGGCUGUACCACUGCAGUGCUGCGGAAAUUGCCUUCACCAGCGGCUUUGCAACAGCUGUUUCGCAGCAUGUCGGAGACAAUGCCUACGAAAUUAUUGGCCCUGAUCAUGAGAGCCCUCAAGGGGCAAACAACAUCUCUGUUGCAGAAGUGAGCCCGAUACCACUUGGAAGUUACCAUGACAGAUGACACGGCAGCAAUAGAUACAGAGACUGCCAUGUCCACUGCAGCUGCAACAGUGUACGAGGCAAGCAGCAGCGCGUAAGCAUCAGCAGCAGUGUCAGAAGGAACCACACCAGGCCUGGUAGAGCAACAUGUGUGCUAUCACUGACUUUUUUUGUAGUGGAUACAACUCAUUUGCGCAACAUACAAAAGCUUUUCACCACGACUGUGAGCCAGUGUUAUUGUGCAGCAAGUGCAAGAUUAAGUUAGGUGUUAUAACACACUACAAGCAUCACUUUAAUAUAUGCAAAUGCAAACAUAUUACAGUUGUUGCCUCCCCAGCCAGCCCACAUAGUGACAACAAUGUGGAACACAUGGUGGGACACACCUCUCCUCCAUUACAAGAUAGUAGAGACUGUCAGUGUUGUUGCUAGAUUGACUGGUCUUUGUAGGCAACUAGAAGGACAACACAGGUGUCAUAAGGUUGUUGUUGAUGUUGUUGAAGAGGUAAAAAAGAAGUUUGAUGCAGCUGAAGUGCCAACUGAUAUUGAGCAAAUCAAAAGCGACCACCUGAGAAAGAAACACUAUCGAAAUUUGGGUAUCUAUGUGCCGCCAACACUGGUAAGAAUGGCAUAGGACAGAAGUGUGAUGAAAAUCACACCGACACUGCUGUUGCAUCACUGGCCACUGUGAGCAGCGACUUGUAGGGCAAGAGAGUCAACUGAAACUGACAUUAUGAUAUAGUGUCAUGCUCCCAUGUGACCACUUUUCAAGUUAUUUUGCAAGAUACAGCUCAACCUCCAGAAACGAGACUGCAACUUGUCUGUAAAAAAGCUUUCACAAAAAAUUAUCCAUAACACUAUUAACAUAGCAGUAUGUCUUUUUUUGUCGGUUCGAGGUUCCCGGCUGUCCAUUAAUGCAAAAAUUGAGGAAAAAAAGAACAUGUGUCGUACUUACACCUUUUUAACAAGUACGAGGGGGACAGAACUUUUCUAGUCAUGCAUCUUCAUCAUACUAUCAAGUUUUUAAAUGCCUUUUAUAAUUAUUAUUACCAGUUAUAUCUGAGUGCAUUGUAUGCAUGUAGCAGGUGUAAAAUCAGGUCAGUUGGAUCAGAUGCCUUAUCUGCAAACGAGCCCUAUAUUCAAGAAAUUUAAAUUAAAAUAGUUACGUUAGAGACGCAGUCUUUCAGCACUUUAUUGCCUGUGGUUUAAGCAUUGCUCAAUACUUUUGUGGGUGGCAAUUUCAACCGGCACAGCACUGCGCUUUGCCACAGUCACAUUUGUCUUCAAAGCGGUGUUUACCAUUUGUGUUGAUCUGUUUGUGUAUGCAUAGGGCAAGUUUUUAAUUUAUAUUUUUCUGCAUUCUUGUGCUUGCACUAAGCUUGUAUAAGGCAGUUACAAAAUGUGCGUCACUAUAACGAACUGUUCUGUUGAGCUUACACUUGCAAAUAAUCGUGUUCAGAUGGCCGCACUUCUAUGCGGGUACACCGCUAGCUUUGUGUAUGUUUUCAUGUUUGUAUAAAGCUUAUAUAAGCUAGUUAGAAAAUGUAUGUCACUAAGCAUUGUGAUAUUCUUUAAAGAACUGCUUGGUUGGUUUUACAC